rnacentral:ribozyme from 1 species
UGCAUCGUUGCACGACGUACGGUUAGGAUCCGAACCCUCUUCAAGCCUUCAACCCUUUCUUAAAGGCUCUUCUUACCUACUCCUACUCAAUUUGUCGACGUCGUACAAAGCGGAAACAAGGCUCCCUGUAUCUGAGUUUGGGUACACGGGGAAACCUUGGUAGGAUGGGAGACAUUACAAACUUAAGAGGG